AGAAGAUGUGGUAAAGAGACAUCCUGGCUGUUGCUCUCCAGAGUCUUUGCCAUCCUAAAGGAGGGGUGCUCUGUGGUGGCCUGGCCUCCUGUGAACUAUGGGUUUCCUGCUAGACCGGAGGAGGAAGUCAACCCCAAGGGAAGCCAUGCCACAGUGAUUCCUGAAAUGGGACCAAUCCCGGUCGGUGACCAGCCCUGAAGGUGAGACACCUGCAGAAGCUGAGGAGUGUGGCACACCUGCUGGCCCUUCCUGAUAGAGCCACAUGGGACUCAGCCUGGAGCAGCCUCUGGCUACAGCAUCCUUUCAAUGUAAGACCUGCUAAGCCCCAGGAUCCCCAGAUGCUCAGUGUACACAUCCUUCAUGACUCUCACUGGCAAAAGAUAUGGAAAGAGACAGUCACUGAUGGAUGGAAAGGAACUGUGUGAGUGUAAACACAUAACGGGAAGUCCUGCGCCUCUCUUAAUUGCCCGACACAAUUCCCACUACGUGCAUAAACUGCAGUUCCCAUUAACAGCACCAUGAAUAAUAAUCAGUUUACUUUCUGACUCGUAUCUAAAUAUACCUUCUAUAUGAUUUCAUCUUUUAUGCAGCUGUUUAGAAGCAGAACAUCUAAUUACAGUUCCUAUUAGUCAACAUUAAUUUUUUUCCCUUUUGCCACGGAGCAUAUGUAAUGACUGAUUUUCUAAAAACAGAAUUUUUUUAGCAUAUGGAACAAAUUGUGUUAUUAUUAAUGCAUUCCCAGAUGACUCUGCAUUUCAAUUCCCUUAAUUAUUUAGUCAUUGCUGAUUAUGUCUUUUUAACAUUCAUUAUCCCAUCUCUCGAAACACAGGCGGUUUAUUCAUUAAGUGUCAAAAUGGAAAGCUUGACCUCC
rnacentral:lncRNA from 1 species